ACAGAAUUUCACAGCAUCCCGGACGCUUAGCUGCCUGCGUUGCUGUUUGAGUGUUCAAGGGACGACCCACGCCCUUCCACACCCUGGGUCGCCUUCCGACGCUUUCCUUUCCACCUCCAAAGGAAAACAGAAGCACCUGCUGGUACUGCUUUAUCCUUUUACACGGAGUUGGACACACAGAAAGAAGGGCAUCUCUUUCCUGGAAGCUAAAACAACCACAGUGGCUUCCCCCUGCUGACACUGGAUGGCUAAACCAGGAGGCUGUCGCGGAGGGAGAAGCUGGGAUGGAUCAAAGGCUCUUGGGAUUUGCUAAAAGGGCCUCGGAUUCCAUCCAUGCCUAGCUCCCAGCAGCAGAACAAACCGGGGCUAGUGUGUUAGCUUAGUUCAUGCAGCCGAGCCCGACCUGACGUGAGUUCAAAUCCGAGGACCCCCAUGAGAGGAGAGAACGCGUUCCUGUGAUCUGCACUUUCAUACUGUGAUGUGUCACAGGCAGUAAUAAAAACCUAAAUAAUAGAUAAUGCAAAACACACUACCAGAAGCUGAAAGGUGAGACAGGAGCGAGAACGGGACACACCGCACUGGGUUGGUAGAGUGCCUUCCUGGUUUCAUCCCCAGCAUCACAUAAACCAAGCCUGUUGUCACAAGUCUGUGGUCUCAGCACUCCCCGGGGUAACGCUACCCUCAGCUCCAUGACAGUAAAAGCCAGAAAGAAGCUUCUCUUGUGAGUUGAUUUCCUCUCGGUUUUUUUUUUUUUUUUUUUUUAAUUUUUGAGACAAGGUCUCUCUAUUAUAUGGCUCUGGCUGUCCUGGAACCCACGAUGUAGGCCAGGCUGGCCUCGAACUCAGAGAGACCCAUCUGCCUGUCAAAGACAUGUGCUACCGCCUGUCCAGCUUGUGUCUUUUUCUCCCUUGAGUUUUGAGGUGCUUAUGCAUGUGCUCACACAUAUAUGUAGGCCAGGGUUCAAUGUCAGGUGUCCUCCUUGGUUGCCUCUCACCUAAUUAAAAAUCAUGGUUUUAGUGUGUGUGUGUACACACAUGUGCCCAUGCGUGCUGGAGGUCAGCUGACAGCUUACAGAAGUCAGUUUUCUCCUUCCGAGUGGGUCUCCUGUCCCAGCCUGCCACACAUGGCAGUUCACACAUGGCAGUUCACACAUGGCAGUUCCCUGGCUUGGCAACAGGAGACUCACUAUAAAUAACUUGUAACUUCUGGGCUCAGCGAUCCCCUUUCUCCACCUCCUGAGCAGCUGGGACUCGCCCACCCCUGCCUUGCCCUCCCCACUGGGCCUCCUUAGAGUCACCAGGAAGGAAUCUCUUCCCAGAAGUCAAGCUGUGUGCUGAGCUGGUCACCAUGGCCAGGACGUUCCAUGAGGCUGCAGAAAACUCUCUUCCCUGACCCUGAGGUCACUGACGUCACCAAGACCCUCUUCCUGUGCAGAACCUGCUUGAAAGAAUUAUUAAUGCCGAAACGGUAUUUAUUUUAUUUUUUAUUUUUUCAUUAAAAAAAAAAUAAAGAGCACAACACGUGUUCAAAGCUUGGGUGUCACUGACAAAGAUUUGGUUCAUAUGAUCUGGGAAACAUUUCUCAGGACCUAACAGGUUAACAUAGUAGCAAACAACAGAGCAGUUAAGGUGGCUCGGUUGAGUAAAGGUGCUUGCCUGGAAGGAGAGAAGUAACUCUUACCUCCACACACACUGUGGCUGUGGCUGGAACCCUACACCUCCCUCCUCAAUUAAAUAAGUAUAAUUCUGAAAAUAAGCCAGGCUGUGGGGACACACGCUUCUAACCCCGAUACCGAGAGGCAGUAGCAGGAGACUCUAAAUUCAAAACUUGCCUGGUCUACAUCUACAGAGUGAGUUCUAGGGCAGCCAGGGCAACAUAGAGAAACUUGU
rnacentral:lncRNA from 1 species